rnacentral:lncRNA from 1 species
AAAAAUUGGUCUAUUUAAAAGUAAAACAAUAUUUUAAAAUAAUUUUUGUUUGCAAUGCAAAAAUCAAUAUAAAUCUUGUGACGCGCGGUGUUCAACUUUAGUCAGCGCCAGGCGCUUACCGAGGAGGGACGUAUCGCUCGCUGUUGCGCCGCGUAAACUCGCCGGAGUUCGAAAAAUAUAGCGCAACCUACGCAUCUAACACGUUUUGAUACUAGAUAAUGAAAGCAUAUUUAAUUCAGACUAUCAGACUCAAUUGAAUACCAGUACAAAUAAUAUGGAAAAUGAAGAUACAAUACAUGGAAGACGAAUUAUAGAUUUUAGUUUUUUUAUAAAUCAA